AUACGGAGGAUGCAAGCGUUAUCCGGAUUUAUUGGGUUUAAAGGGUGCGUAGGCGGUUUGCUAAGCGGGAGGUGAAAUGCCGGCGCUCAACGUCGGAAGUGCCUCCCGAACUGGUGGACUGGAAUGACUCUGACGUGGGAGGAAUGUGUAGUGUAGCGGUGAAAUGCUUAGAGAUUACACAGAACACCGAUUGCGAAGGCAUCUCACGAAGGGUUGAUUGACGCUGAGGCACGAAAGCGUGGGGAUCAAACAGGAUUAGAUACCCUGGUAGUCCACGCAGUAAACGAUGAUGGCUAACCGCUGGUUUAUUCGGAUCAGUGGCCAAGCGAAAGCGAUAAGCCAUCCACCUGGGGAGUACGACCGCAAGGUUGAAACUCAAAUGAAUUGACGGGG
rnacentral:rRNA from 1 species